UUGCGCACGGAUUAAAAGGGAAUCGGGUGCAAAUCCCGGACAGUCCCGCUGCUGUGAUGCUCCGUGAACUUUCUGAAAAAGCACCAUCACCACUGGCCGUUUGUUUCUCAAGGCCGGGAAGGUUUCAGGAAGGGGGCGAGUCAGAAGACCUGCCGUUCGUUAAA
rnacentral:ncRNA from 1 species